CCCAGAAUGCACCACCAGCAGGCCGGUGCGGACUGCUCAUUAUUUCAAAUUGGAACACAUGUGAGUGGCAGGUCUCAGCAAACAUCUGAGAGAGAGAGAGGACCAAAAUAAUCUACUCGUGGUGCCGUACAACCAAAGAAGCCACUGCGGUGCACUUUCAUCCCGCUCGGCGGGUUAGGGAAGCCUGCUGGGUUUGGGUGGAUCCCCUCAUGGGACCUCAUCCCCGGCGCUGGCUGGCCCUUGCUGGGUGCAGUUCUUUUGUAGUGGUGCGGUGCGACCGGCUCUAGUUUGUCUUUAAAAAGCCUGUGGGUGAGGUUGGCCGCUUGGUUUCACAGCACUGCUCGCCCCAUGGAUCCCGCUGAGCCUUCUCCCCUUGCAGCCAAAGAUGGGGCUUCCUGCUCAACUACCCAUCGGAUCUUGUUUUUUACUAUUUUCUUUUGGAUGGGCCAUUUUCUCCCAUGUCAUGACCGUUUAUAUACAUCAUUAUUCAUGAUUGAAAUGAUUUCUUCAUGGUAAACCAGAAAACUCAUCCAAAGAAAAUUCAGCCUACAACAUUUUCAUUCUAAUUACUUGAAAUAUUUGUGCUCUCAAUUUUAACCCAAAUAAAUGUAACUAUGAUUUUAGCAGUAAUUCAGCACCCCUGCUGUAUUUUCUAUUCCCCCCUUAUUGAUAGGACAAGUCUGUUUAAUGCUUUGAAUAUUUGUUAUUACUGUAUGACUAUAGUGGACAAAUUAAUUCCCCUACAGCUGUUGUAUUUUUGCUGUAAGAAAAGUGAGCAUUGUAGAAAGAAAUUAAGAACGGUCUAUCUUUUAAUUAGUUUUUUUUAGACAUAAGACAGGAGGGUUCAAGGUCAGAAUGAAUUCAUUACAUUUUCAUUUCAAAACAUGGAAUAAAUUGUUUGUAUCUGGAUUUAGGUGGGUUGAGAGUGGGGAGCACAGUUGUCAUGGGGAGACAAUGAAACACUCAAAACUCUUCCGAAUGCUGAUUCUCUUGGAGGAGUGAAUAUAAUAUAUUAACUGUAACUUCUCAAGUGUCAAGAAAUUUGUGUUAUGUUUGCGUUGGUUAGGCUGACAGCGCUGCCUUCAAAGUGGGCAAUCUGGAUCACUUUUUAGUUUUCUAUGUGACAAGACCUGCAUUGUUUUUACCGAAUAAUGUGCUUUGGUGAUGGUUUGAUUUGAUUUGAAUUCUGAAUCUCAUUUAGAGCUGCCUUGAGUUAGGGAUGAAAUUAUACCAAUAUGACAAAGUGCCUCACAACUGACCUUGAAAAACUAUACAUAUAACCCUCUUGAAUAUAUGAUUAAUUUCAGGUUGUUUAUUUAUGAAUGCUUUAUAUUUUAUCUGGAUAAAACAGUCAGAAAACUAUUCUUUGUGCACGCAAAAAUAAAUAAUUUCUGUGUGUAUAUUUUAUCUUAUUAGUACAGCAGGGUGGAGUUUUGUAAGUAGAAAAAUA
ensembl:lncRNA